rnacentral:lncRNA from 1 species
GAUAAUCUUUUUCCACAGUGAUAGAUAGCUGGUCACUGAUGGUCAUGCGGAAACCUGAGCAAACAUCUUUCGUUAAAGGAUACUCUUAGGCACAUAAGGAAGAGGCCAUUUGAGCCCUCGACGAGAAGGCUGCCAUCUCCUGGCCAAGAGAAUUGGUCUCAGAAUGAAACCACCUUGCUGCCACCUUGAUUUUGGACUUCCAGCUUACAGAACUGGCACCCCAAGAGAAACAAUCUCAGCCCAUCAACUUGCUGAUGCUACAGUUCCUCUGGGAGAGGUGAGGAUGUUCUCAAAGAAGGCAAGAGUACUCAUUAUUGUAAAGGUAAAAUAUGAUUUAAAAGACUUGUGAGAAAAGUUGUUUUCUAGAAGCACAACAAACAUCACGAGGAAGCCAUGCUGCUUAUCUGCAAUCUUUGCUUUGAUAUUUCUGCGUUGGAUUAGACUUUGAUAUUUGGAAAUCAGAUCAUUGUUGGAGCAGUGGUGUUCUUAAUGAGAAAAACAACCAUCUAAAGCGAAUGGUGUUUAGAUGUUAAAUGGUGGAGAGGAAAGGCUGUAAAUGUUAAGAGGUGAGUUAGGAGAGCAUGAAGGAACUCUGGCUUGGAGCCAAUUAGAAUAGGACUGAGAGAAGUAGUGGAUAAUAUGAUAGAUGUUGAGUAACAGCUUGCAGACAAGGUUCACUAAAAACCUGUCAAAAGGAACCCUUCCAAAUACCACGAUAGACUCAAGGCAGAGGACAUCUUUGCAUUGUUUAAUUAUGAUAUAUUUCUUAAUUAUAGAAAAUUACAGAGAAACUUCACAAGGAGGAUCUUUCAAAAAAUGCUAAUCUAAGUCAUUAAUUUGAAUAUUUACAAUAGAAAAUUAUUCAAUUAGGCUACUAUAGUUCUUUUUCAGUAGAAAUCAGUGAUAGUAUGAUCAAGAAGACUUUUGUCCAGGAUGGAAUGUCCUGCUGAAUCUAUUAUGCAUUACUGUAUUUC